CGCCGCCCGACGCGCGGCCCCGCCGCCAUCUCUGGUCCCUCCGCACCGCGUCCCCUCAGCGGUCUCCUCGGGACCUCUCCGUCCAGCCGCGCUCCCGCCGCCCCCUCAGUGCCGCUGGUCCUUCAGUCCCCCCCUCACACUGCCGCCGUCCCUUCAGCGUCUCCCGGUCCCACUCGGCCCCGCUGUCUCCUCGGCGCCUCUCAGCACCCAUCCCCUCUGCCCUCUCAACCCUGCCGUCCUCUCAGGUCUCCCCCUCACACCCUCUCGUUCCCCUCAGGUCCUCUUCAGCCUGAGCGGCGGCUCGGUGAGGGAUGGCUCCUCUGGGGGAGCCCCGGGACAGGCUGAGGAGGCCGCCUGCCUCCUGUCAGCGCCUCAAGGGAGAGAGAAACCCCGCGGGUUUCUUCUGCAGAAAGGAGAAGAAAGUGGGUUUAGAUGGGACCGGGAGAGAUGAAACAGUUGUCACUUCUGCCCUGAAGGUCCAUGCGUGGUUCUGGUCUCUCCCUGUAUAGAAUUACAUUUAAUAGAGUUAAAAUGAGACCGUGGACGUCGUGGACAUGGGUUAGCUUCUGUGGAAAUAAGUGCCAGGAAGAAAUCUUCACGGUGGGUUUGGCGGUGUGGGGGCAGCUGGAGGUGUUGGGCCUGUGCCUCGCUCAGAAAUGUUGGGGUGGGGUCACUUCAAAUCAGAGCAGACAGGUAAAACAAGAAAUGGGAUGAGGAGAAGUGAUCGUGAGGAGGGCUGGGAGAGAGUGCUGCCUCUCUGCCGGCGGGUUGUUUCUCUCUGAGCAGAUGGAGCACAUUUCUCCUUAUCCUGAGUUGGUAGCAACAGUGGGAAAGAGCAGGACUAUUGCCAGCCCUGUCACAGAUAAACCUGGGCCGUGGAAGAGUGGCAUAAUGCAUGGUGUGAUGGCCCACAGCUCUGGUCAGCUCCUUCGACCCGUGUGAAGCUGCAGUGCAAGAAGACCACAAAGGCCUGCUGUUGGGAUAGGAGUGGUUUUAUUGUGUUAUCCAUAACUCAGGCCAUACACAGCAAUAUGUACUUCAUAACUAAAAUGCAGAGACAUCCAGAGUGCUGCAUGCUCCAGGCAAAGCCACGGCUUGCACCUUUCGGUGCCUCACAGCUCAUGCCAGGUCACACGAGACGAUCUCACAGCAGAUGCAGCAUGAAGGAAACAGCUUCAUAGCUCUCGGGUAGCUGUGUCACAUGGAUGGGAGUGUGCUUGACUCACCAAGCAAGCCUGACGACGGGAAGAAGGUAACAAUCCCCUUCGGUCCCCGGGUAGAUCAGCCUCUGAUCUUUGUCUUUGAGCAAAGACGUUUCUGGGGAACACUGGAAAUUUCUUCUCGCUUAAAACAGAUCAGUAAUAAUGAAGUGCUUCUCGGUAGGAAGUGCGGAUCAGUUGCAAGCUGUUGGUCAGUGCAAGAUCUGCACUGUCAGCUGGCAGCAGUGUCUGGCCUUCUCAGCCAGCCUUGCUGCUGCUUCCUCCCCACAUCUCCCCUUUCCUGCAUGCUUUCAUCUCCCCUCCAGCUUUCACUCAACACCUGCCUUGUCACCCUUCCAACCCCACACAUACUUCAGUUUUUCUUCCCCAU
rnacentral:lncRNA from 1 species